AUUGAACGCUGGCGGCAGGCCUAACACAUGCAAGUCGAACGAGUGGCGGACGGGUGAGUAAUGUCUGGGCAACUGCCUGAUGGAGGGGGCUAACUACUGGAAACGGUGGCUACUACCGCAUACCAUCGGAUGUGCCCAAGGGGGAUUAGCUAGUCGGUGGGGUAAAGGCUCACCUAGGCGACGAUCCCUAGCUGGUCUGAGAGGAUGACCAGCCACACUGGAACUUAGACACGGCCCAGACUCCUACGGGAGGCAGCAGUGGGGAAUAUGUGACAAUGGGCGAAAGCCUGACGCAGCCAUGCCGCGUGUAUGAAGAAGGCCUUCGGGUUGUAAAGUACUGUCAGCGGGGAGGCGGUACCCGCAGAAGAAGCACCGGCUAACUCCGUGCCAGCAGCCGCGGUAAUUC
rnacentral:rRNA from 1 species